CCUACGGGUGGCAGCAGUGAGGAAUAUUGGUCAAUGGCCGGAAGGCUGAACCAGCCAUGCCGCGUGAAGGUCAGUGCCCUAUGGGCGUUAAACUUCUUUUGUGCGGGAGCAAUAAUGGUCACGUGUGGCCAGACGAGAGUACCGUACGAAUAAGCAUCGGCUAACUCCGUGCCAGCAGCCGCGGUAAUACGGGGGAUGCAAGCGUUAUCCGGAUUUAUUGGGUUUAAAGGGUGCGUAGGCUGUGAGGUAAGUCAGCGGUGAAAUGCCCCCGCUCAACGGGGUGAAGUGCCAUUGGAACUGCAUGGCUGGAGUGCGGGAGGGGCAGGCGGAAUUCCUGGUGUAGCGGUGAAAUGCGUAGAUAUCAGGAGGAACACCGGCGGCGAAGGCGGCCUGCUGGACCGCGACUGACGUUGAGGCUCGAAAGCGUGGGGAGCGAACAGGAUUAGAUACCCUUGUAGUC
rnacentral:rRNA from 1 species